rnacentral:rRNA from 1 species
CCCUUAGACGUUCUGGGCCGCACGCGCGCUACACUGACCAGUGCAACAAGCAUCCGUCCUUGGCCGACAGGCCCGGGCAAUCUUUGAACGCUGGUCGUGAUGGGGAUAGACUUUUGCAAUUUUUGGUCUUCAACGAGGAAUUCCUAGUAAACGCAAGUCAUCAACUUGCAUUGAUUACGUCCCUGCCCUUUGUACACACCGCCCGUCGCACCUACCGAUUGAAUGAUCCGGUGAAGCCUCCGGAUUGGCGCGCACCUCGGUGCCGCCGAGAAGUUGGCUAAACCUUACCAUUUAGAGGAAGGUGAAGUCGUAACA